AGCUGGUAAAAUGGAACCAAAUCAACUUUUCAAUGGAUUUGGUCCCCUUCAACCAGCUGU
rnacentral:pre_miRNA from 1 species